UACGGUAGGGUGCAAGCGUUGUCCGGAAUUAUUGGGCGUAAAGAGCUCGUAGGCGGUCUGUCGCGUCUGCUGUGAAAAUCAGGGCUCAACCCUGGACCUGCAGUGGGUACGGGCAGACUAGAGUGCGGUAGGGGAGAUCGGAAUUCCUGGUGUAGCGGUGAAAUGCGCAGAUAUCAGGAGGAACACCGGUGGCGAAGGCGGCCAACUGGACCACAACUGACGCUGAGGCGCGAAAGCUAGGGGGAGCGAACAGG
rnacentral:rRNA from 1 species